rnacentral:rRNA from 1 species
GAGCGGUAGCACAGAGAGCUUGCUCUCGGGUGACGAGCGGCGGACGGGUGAGUAAUGUCUGGGAAACUGCCUGAUGGAGGGGGAUAACUACUGGAAACGGUAGCUAAUACCGCAUAACGUCGCAAGACCAAAGUGGGGGACCUUCGGGCCUCAUGCCAUCAGAUGUGCCCAGAUGGGAUUAGCUAGUAGGUGGGGUAACGGCUCACCUAGGCGACGAUCCCUAGCUGGUCUGAGAGGAUGACCAGCCACACUGGAACUGAGACACGGUCCAGACUCCUACGGGAGGCAGCAGUGGGGAAUAUUGCACAAUGGGCGCAAGCCUGAUGCAGCCAUGCCGCGUGUGUGAAGAAGGCCUUCGGGUUGUAUAGCACUUUCAGCGGGGAGGAAAGC